GUGUUAUCAUCUCGGCACCACAUAUAUAAAAAGCUGGGAUGAUACAAUGAUUAGCGUGGGUCCUGUGCAAGGAUGGCGUGCAAAUUCAUGAGGUGUUCCCUAUAUGU
rnacentral:snRNA from 1 species